UUUCCGGAAAUCCCCAAUCCCUAAUCCGGAAGCAAGGCAACCUUUAAUAAAGCUACUAGUAAAGACCUCUCUCUCUUUCUAUUCCCCUUCCGGCACUUGCCCCGAGCAUCUAGCCUUGAGCUUGUCGUGAUCUCGCCUCGAGCAAUCUAGGUCUUGGUUUAUGAGCUCGAAGGAGAAACCGACUCUCGGUGGUACGCGGAUUAAGCCCCGCAAAAGGAAUAUCACAGCUCCUUUGGACCCUGCAGCUUUUGCGGAUGCGGUGGUCCAGAUUUAUCUGGAUAAUGCUGGUGAUCUGGAACUCAUUGCCAAAAGCAUCGAAUCAUCAGAUCUUAAUUUCUCCAGAUACGGUGACACCUUUUUUGAGG